rnacentral:rRNA from 1 species
AUUGAACGCUAGCGGGAUGCUUUACACAUGCAAGUCGAACGGCAGCGCGGACUUCGGUCUGGCGGCGAGUGGCGAACGGGUGAGUAAUGUAUCGGAACGUGCCCAGUAGCGGGGGAUAACUACGCGAAAGCGUAGCUAAUACCGCAUACGCCCUACGGGGGAAAGCAGGGGAUCGUAAGACCUUGCACUAUUGGAGCGGCCGAUAUCGGAUUAGCUAGUUGGUGAGGUAACGGCUCACCAAGGCGACGAUCCGUAGCUGGUUUGAGAGGACGACCAGCCACACUGGAACUGAGACACGGCCCAGACUCCUACGGGAGGCAGCAGUGGGGAAUUUUGGACAAUGGGGCAACCCUGAUCCAGCCAUCCCGCGUGUGCGAUGAAGGCCUUCGGGUUGUAAAGCACUUUUGGCAGGAAAGAAACGUCGCGGACUAAUACCCCGUGGAACUGACGGUACCUGCAGAAUAAGCACCGGCUAACUACGUG